rnacentral:lncRNA from 1 species
CGCAUAACAGUUGAAAACAAAAAGUGAAAGCCAAAAUAACAGGCGUUUCGUUCGUUCGCUUAUAUACUCUGUAUUUUUAUUUUAUUUUUGCUGUUUCACUGUUUUUUUUCGUUGUCAGUACAAGACAUGUCACGCCUUCUUUGAGUUCUCUAUCCUUUUUUCGUCAUAUAACGCUGUGGUUAAGGUAACCAAUGGUUUCCUAGCCAUCAUUCAACUGAUACAAAUCCCGAUACUGAUCCCCUUGUGUGCUCACGAAUGUUUGUGAUUAAUGGAGACAAUAAAAAUGGAUGGAUGUUUAUAGUUACCUGUAGAGUUCCCCAAAAAAAAGUGUUGUGUGGCCGCAGUCCCGCGUUUGAGCACAUUUUUACACAGUCGAUACACAAGCGAGAAAAGGAAUAUUGCGUUGGGUAUGCAAAUGAUUGGUUGAAAAUUUUAGCCAAUCUUGGGCAACGCAUAUUUUCCAAUGCAAAGAUAUGCAAAUAAAUCAGCACGAAAUGCUCUGGGUAGACAAGAUCUAGUCACGUUUAGUUUUGUUCCCUAAAUAACAUGGAAAUAAUUCUGAACUUGUAUACAAUACAUAGAGAACUUCCUCUUCUUUCUCUAAAUAUUCGUCUGCCUGGAAGUUGAACCAAGGAACCGAAAAGUCUUGGCUAAAGCAGACCAAGAGCAGUCACGCCUAACAAACCACAACACAGUUAAACAAAGAUUUCGUGGAAAAUACGCUUGACUCAACUACCGUUGGCCAGCAGAAAUCCUGUUGACGUGAUCCAUUUCAAGAUGCCAACUGUUAUGAAUUUUUCAAGUCGAGGGUAACAAAAUUUCAGACGAAACUGCAGCCCAAUGUUGCAAAAACCUUUUUGUAAACUGAAAGAAUUUCCUGCGCUAUUACAAAAGCAUUUUUUUUUGUAUUUUAGUUUUUUUAUUUUUACCUUUUUUCUGUUUUCAAUUUUUUUUCAUUCACGAUCAGUUUGUAAGAAUUCGACCCAAUAAAAAAUAGACCAUAGAUGGACACGCAGAUUUUUUUUCAAACACUGAAGAGACACAGCAAAAUGGUUUUUGUUCAAAAAAAGUUCAAUGGUAAAAAAACGAAAUUCUAUUGGAGAAGACUGUGACAGACUGUCUGAGGGAAAUUGUGGGGAUGCGGUAAAGAGGAGAAAAAAAAAUAACUUUCAAAAAUCGGACGAGAUGUUACAUUUUUUUUUGAAAGAUCCGGCAAGGGCAUGGGGUUUUUUCGUUUGUACACUCUCAUUUUGGUGGUAUGCACGGCAAUUCAUUGAUAAAUCCUUUAGAUAUCAGCAGAGGGGCGUUAAGACGACAGAAUAAACACUCAAUAAUUGGCCCGCGUUUCCAAUAAUGUCAUCCUCCUUGAACAAAUUGGCAAUUUUCGCUAUAGAUAGGUCACAGAAUCAAAAUGACGUUGCAAAGUACAAUGAUUUAAAUCUGUACAGCGUGGAUUACGGGAUUGAUAAGAAAGGAGGCGCGGGAUAUCGAGUCAUCACUUCAAAAAAUAAUAAAAAUCAAGUCGGUGGCGAGGGCGCACGAGUCAAUUUGAACAGCACGGGAGUAAAAUUGUUUUUAAAACGCUCACGGUUUCCUUUUUCCUAACUUAUGUUUGCAAAGAUAUUUUCACAUGGACAAAAACAUGAACAUGGACAUACUGUUGAUCACGCGCAACCAGACUGUUUUCUUUUUUUUCAAACGUUUCAAAUUUUUGAGACCCGGAGUUUUUUCUUUUUGCAGCAGUGGCAGUUUAAAAAAAAAUACGAACAAAUGAAUUCGAGUUAAUUUGACAGGAAAAAAAAUAAUAGAUCACGGCAUUGCAAGAUUUAAAAAUAAUAAACAAGAGGACAAACCCUUCGCAUUAUAUCAAUGUCAUCAUCAAUAAACCCUUUUUGCUCUCAAAUUUUCAUCAAACGGGAUCGCACAAAUUAUUUUUUCAAAAGACGAAGUAUUCAACUGGCGUCCCAGCCCAAAUUGCACGGGUAUCUUUCUCAAGUGGAUCUUCCUAACAUAAAACAUCUUGAUUCUAUCGAUCGAUGAAACAACAUUCAUGUGACCAUCAAAAUCAAUAAUAGUUAAUAAUAGAAAAUAAAAUAACCAAAACAUCCAUCCAGUGUAGAUCAAAAUCAGAAAAAAACAGGGCCAUGGGGGGUGGUGGUAAUCGGGAUGUGAGGGAGAGAAGCUAUGCAUAUGCUUUCACGAAGCAGCAAAGAUUACAUUUUGUCAAACUGAAAAGGUCACCAGGAUUUCGUUACCCAAGUCACCCUGACCUCCCAGAUUUUUUUGUAAGCAUCUAUGUAAACCAGCAGAAAUAUCGGGAAAUUGGAAUCAAUAAGAUAUGAAGGCCCUACAAUCCAAUUAUGGUUAUUUGUCUUUUUUUUUGUUUAGCUUACUAUCAAUUCAAAAUACGCAACGAGCACACAAGACACUAAAUAAUGAAUCCAUGGAUUUUAGUAUGCUUAAGACAAGUAUUUCAAAAUUGAAUCCCAAAAAAUUUUCUUUAAGUUUUGACAAACAUCCACCAUCGUUUAACUGAAAUUUCUAAAUAAGCCUACACCUAGUACAAAGAAAAAUUUAAGGGAGUUUGUUUAAAUAAUGUUCUACUCGUUAUCAACGGACAAAAAAAAAUUGGGGAAUUGAGGCGGGUUAUAUAAGAGGUCAGCUCGAGACAAUUUGGGGGAGGGGGCGAGAAUGGGACAAAACUCACGAUCAAUCAUUGAAGUGGACACAUUACUUCCUCGAUUUUGAGAAAUAAACUCGGGACAUC